rnacentral:rRNA from 1 species
CCUACGGGGGGCAGCAGUGGGGAAUAUUGCACAAUGGGGGAAACCCUGAUGCAGCGACGCCGCGUGAAGGAAGGAGUAUCUCGGUAUGUAAACUUCUAUCAGCAGGGAAGAAAAUGACGGUACCUGACUAAGAAGCCCCGGCUAACUACGUGCCAGCAGCCGCGGUAAUACGUAGGGGGCAAGCGUUAUCCGGAUUUACUGGGUGUAAAGGGAGCGUAGACGGAAGAGCAAGUCUGAUGUGAAAUCCCAGGGCUUAACCCCAGGACUGCAUUGGAAACUGGUUAUCUGGAGUGCCGGAGAGGUAAGCGGAAGUCCUAGUGUAGCGGUGAAAUGCGUAGAUAUUAGGAGGAACACCAGUGGCGAAGGCGGCUUACUGGACGGUAACUGACGUUGAGGCUCGAAAGCGUGGGGAGCAAACAGGAUUAGAUACCCGGGUAGUC